GCCCGUUGCUCAUAAUUAUAACAUAAUAUUUUAAUAAAAACAUAUGAAAGUGCUUCAAAAUUUCAAUUUCUUAUGAAAAAACUCCAACGAUCCAGUUAAGGAAUAGUUAACAAAGAAAACGUCUGAGGGUUUAUUUAUUCAUUAUCCAGAUUUUCCAUGGAACUUCUACUUAUUUCUUUCUUCAAGCCAUUCUCUCCAACAUGCAGAAAAUGGCACCUCCAUCUCUGAUAAUAACACACAAGCUUUACCAAAAUACAAGCCUCCAAAAUUAGAAAAAAAGAAGUAAAAGAAAAAGAAAGGAGAGUAAAGAAAAAGAAAAGAGAUAGAGGCCAUUAUAGGGAGCAAGAACAAUCUCUAUCAAUCUUCCUCCAUAAUAGUAUCCAUUAUCUUCACCAAUGGCCUCCUCUUGAUAGAGAUGAACCGUAGCGGUGCUACUUCAAUGGAGAAUCUCCUAACAUCCAUCUAUCUACUCAACAAAAACUUACAGAGAGAGGAAACUUAAUGGGCAUUGAGGGAAAGAAGAAGAGAAGAAGGGUUUUGAUGAUGAAGGAAAAGGUGGUAAUGGGUAUGCCAUUUUAUAAUAAGGGUGUGUAUGGAUUGAUGUGACUGUUUCCAUUUUGGUGCAUAUGGAUUAAUUUGGAAGUUCAUGGAAUUUCGAAAACACAGUACUGAAAAUGAUUUGCCAACCACACGACCGACUUCCAACUUUUUGCAUUAAAUUCAUGGCGUUGCCGUGGCUGCAAGGGAAUUCUCUUAGAUCUUUCCUUCUAGACAAGGUUUUCCAUAACUACCAAACUGCUUUUUGAGCACCUUC
rnacentral:lncRNA from 1 species